rnacentral:rRNA from 1 species
GACGAACGCUGGCGGCGUGCCUAAUACAUGCAAGUCGAGCGGACUGAUUAAGAGCUUGCUCUUAUGACGUUAGCGGCGGACGGGUGAGUAACACGUGGGCAACCUGCCCUGUAGAUCGGGAUAACACCGAGAAAUCGGUGCUAAUACCGGGUAAUAUCUGAGAUCACAUGAUCUUAGGUUAAAAGAUGGCUCCGGCUAUCACUACAGGAUGGGCCCGCGGCGCAUUAGCUAGUUGGUAAGGGAAUGGCUUACCAAGGCGACGAUGCGUAGCCGACCUGAGAGGGUGAUCGGCCACACUGGGACUGAGACACGGCCCAGACUCCUACGGGAGGCAGCAGUAGGGAAUCUUCCGCAAUGGACGAAAGUCAGACGGAGCAACGCCGCGUGAGUGAUGAAGGGUUUCGGCUCGUCAAGCUCUGUUGUUAGGGAAGAAACAGUACCGAACGAACUAGGUCGGUACCUUGACGGUACCUAACCAGAAAGCCACGGCUAACUACGUG